rnacentral:rRNA from 1 species
CUUCUUUGCUGACGAGUGGCGGACGGGUGAGUAAUGUCUGGGAAACUGCCUGAUGGAGGGGGAUAACUACUGGAACGGUAGCUAAUACCGCAUAACGUCGCAAGACCAAAGAGGGGGACCUUCGGGCCUCUUGCCAUCGGAUGUGCCCAGAUGGGAUUAGCUAGUAGGUGGGGUAACGGCUCACCUAGGCGACGAUCCCUAGCUGGUCUGAGAGGAUGACCAGCCACACUGGAACUGAGACACGGUCCAGACUCCUACGGGAGGCAGCAGUGGGGAAUAUUGCACAAUGGGCGCAAGCCUGAUGCAGCCAUGCCGCGUGUAUGAAGAAGGCCUUCGGGUUGUAAAGUACUUUCAGCGGGGAGGAAGGGAGUAAAGUUAAUACCUUUGCUCAUUGACGUUACCCGCAGAAGAAGCACCGGCUAACUCCGUGCCAGCAGCCG